UACGUAGGGAGCAAGCGUUUGUCCGGAAUCAUUGGGCGUAAAGCGCGCGUAGGUGGCCUCGUAAGUCCGCUGUAAAAGUCAAAGGCUCAACCUUUGAAAGCCGGUGGAUACUGCGGGGCUAGAGUACGGAAGAGGCGAGUGGAAUUCCUGGUGUAGCGGUGGAAUGCGCAGAUAUCAGGAGGAACACCAAUAGCGAAGGCAGCUCGCUGGGACGUUACUGACACUGAGGCGCGAAAGCGUGGGGAGCGAACAGGG
rnacentral:rRNA from 1 species